AUAAAUUACAUCGCGAGAAAAUUCAGAGGAGUUAAGCUAAAUACAAUAAAUAAUCUUUAAAUGUUUUUAAUUCACCUUUUAGCAAGAAGUGUGACACUAAUAGCUGCAAGCAGUGAAGAGUGACAAAAUUAGCAAGCAGUGCGACACUACUUGCUGCAAGCAGUGAAGAGUCAGAAAAUUAUGCCUUGAACAAUAGAUGGCGCUUAUGGCACAACACAAAACCUACUUGCUCUACACGACUGCAACCAAGCAGUACACUUUUCUGCUUCUUCUCGAAGAUAUUCAAUAGAUGGCGCUGAGCACCGUCGAAAACGAGUUUAUCUUGUUUACUUUUUCAUGAACAACUUGGCGCCUAUUCAAAAAACAAAACCGCCUGAAUUGUAACAUGAAAUUUACUUGUUAUAAUUCCACGCAAAGAAAAAUCGAGAUUAGUUUUCUUAUUAUUUCUCAUAAGCGGUUUCCACUUAAUUGCAGUGUAUUUAACACCAAUAAACGAAAAAUGCUGCGCUUCCAUAGAAGACAGAAGACAGGCAGCAGAACGUAGCUGCUACUCGAGUGCUACCUGAUGACGACGAAUUUUUACUGCUGAUUCUACGGGAUUAUCAAAUGAAAGUUGGUUUUCUGGUCACUUGGUUCGCCGAAACUUUUCGCUUAAUCGAAUUGACAACAACUUUUUCAAUCGAAAGUCAUCGUGUUGCAGUGCCGUGAGAAUUUGGAUAGCUCCAGAUAUGCGAUACGACGUUUUGCUUGGGCCACUCAUCAUCGGGUUCAAUGCGAUCAGUUCAAAUUUAAGGAAGUAACGCCAAGCAAACACCAGAGGAAGAAGCUCAAUAGAAAAGUUUUGAAUAUGCAAACAGAU